CGCCGCGCCGUGAGGGGUCUGCCGGGCGGGGAAUGCAGCCCGCAGCCUUCCGGGUGCGCGUGUCGUCGUCGUCGUCCCCCCGCCGUGGGUCACUGCAGUGGAGAGGUAUCUGGCUUCCUGUUUCCCCAGUUACAACACCCAGGGUAGUACUUUGAGGGCCAACAACUUGAAGAGACGCAGCCUGACCUGAUUUGUUGAUUUUAGUGAUAUAUUAAAGAAGCAUAGAUGCCAUCAGUGAUAGAAAAUGCGGACAGACAACAGAGAGGAGACUGGUGAACGGAUUUUUAUGAAUAAUACCCAACAGAUGAACCAGGGAAGCAAAAACGCAGUUCAGCGGACCCUUGAUAUCACUAGAAACUCCUAGAGGAGGAGAUGUUCCUGCCUGGAUAGCUAAGAUAACUAUCAAUAAAAAUUGUUUGUUA